rnacentral:rRNA from 1 species
CUAGUUGCAUGCUGUAGAGACCCGAAACCGGGUGACCUAUCCAUGGUGAUAAGCUGCGAUAAGCUUCGGGAGGCGCACAUAGCCAGAGAUCCGGAGAUUCCGAAUGGGGAAACCCGCAUGAGAAACCUCAUGCAUCGUAAAGUGAAUACAUAGCUUUAUGAAGGAACACCUAGGGAACUGAAACAUCUAAGUACCUAGAGGAAGAGAAAGAAAAAUCGAUUUUCUUAGUAGCGGCGAGCGAAAAGGAAAGAGCCCAAACCAGAGAUUUAUCUCUGGGGUUGCGGACAGAACAUAACGUGAAAUUAUGAUUAACCGAACACAACUGGAAAGUUGGACCGUAGGAGGUAAUAGUCCUGUAAGUAAAAGUCAUAAUGAUCAGUUCUGCACCAGAGUACCACGAGACACGUGAAACCUUGUGGGAAGCAGGGAGGACCACCUCCCAAGGCUAAAUACUACCUGAUGACCGAUAGUGAAGCAGUACCGUGAGGGAAAGGUGAAAAGAACCCCGGGAGGGGAGUGAAAUAGAACCUGAAACCAUGUGCCUACAACCGAUCAAAGCACCUUAUGUGUGUGAUGAUGUGCUUUUUGUAGAACGAGCCAACGAGUUACGGUAUGUAGCGAGGUUAAGUACUUAAGGUACGGAGCCGAAGGGAAACCGAGUCUUAAUAGGGCGACUAGUUGCAUGCUGUAGACCCGAAACCGGGUGACCUAUCCAUGGCCAGGUUGAAGCGAGGGUAAAACCUCGUGGAGGACCGAACCACGUUGCUGUUGAAAAAGCAUGGGAUGAGCUGUGGAUAGCGGAGAAAUUCCAAUCGAACUCGGAUAUAGCUGGUUCUCCUCGAAAUAGCUUUAGGGCUAGCGUCGUGAAAUGUGAGUACUGGAGGUAGAGCACUGAAUAGGCUAGGGGGCAUAGCGCUUACCGAACCUUAUCAAACUCCGAAUGCCAGAUACUAUCAGCACGGCAGUCAGACUAUGAAAGAUAAGUUCCAUGGUCAAAAGGGAAACAGCCCAGAUCGUCAGCUAAGGUCCCAAAGUGUAAGUUAAGUGGAAAAGGAUGUGGGAUUUCUAAGACAACUAGGAUGUUGGCUUAGAAGCAGCCACUCAUUAAAAGAGUGCGUAAUAGCUCACUAGUCAAGAGAUCCUGCGCCGAAAAUGUCCGGGGCUCAAACUUACCACCGAAGCUACGGGUUCAUACUUUGUAUGAGCGGUAGAGGAGCGUCGUAAUCGGGCUGAAGUCGUACCGUAAGGAGCGGUGGACUGAUUACGAGUGAGAAUGUUGGCAUUAGUAGCGAGAUGUAGGUGAGAAUCCUACAGGCCGAAUAUCUAAGGUUUCCUGAGUAAAGUUUGUCUUCUCAGGGUUAGUCGGGACCUAAGGCGAGGCCGAGAGGCGUAGUCGAUGGACAAUUGGUUGAUAUUCCAAUACCACUAUAAUCGUUAUUAUCGAUGGUGUGACGGAGAAGGAUAGGAUGUGCCAGCUAUUGGAUGCUGGUCUAAGCGUUGAGGGAGUUAGAACAGGCAAAUCCGUUCUAACAAUCCUAGGGCGUGAUGGGGAAGGUUCCACGGAACCGAAGUAUCUGAUUUCAUGCUUCCAAGAAAAGCAUCUAGAAAGAGAAGUAGUGCCCGUACCGCAAACCGACACAGGUAGAUGAGGAGAGAAUCCUAAGGCCGACGGAAGAAUCACAGUUAAGGAACUAGGCAAAUUGACCCCGUAACUUCGGGAGAAGGGGUGCCUACCAUUUGGUAGGCCGCAGAGAAUAGGCACAAGCAACUGUUUAACAAAAACACAGGUCUCUGCUAAAGCGUAAGCUGAUGUAUAGGGCUGACGCCUGCCCGGUGCUGGAAGGUUAAGGGGAACACUUAGCGCAAGCGAAGGUGUGAACUUAAGCCCCAGUAAACGGCGGCCGUAACUAUAACGGUCCUAAGGUAGCGAAAUUCCUUGUCAGGUAAGUUCUGACCCGCACGAAUGGCGUAAUGACUUGUGCACUGUCUCAACUGUGAAUCCGGCGAAGUUGUAGUGCGAGUGAAGAUGCUCGCUACCCGCGAUUGGACGGAAAGACCCCGUAGAGCUUUACUGUAGCUUAGCAUUGAAUUUCGGUAUUGUCUGUACAGGAUAGGUGGGAGACUGGGAAAUUAGGGCGUCAGCUUAAUGGAGUCGUUGUUGGGAUACCACCCUGAUAGUAUUGAAGUUCUAACUGGAUGCCAUGAAACUGGUGACAGGACAUUGUUAGGUGGGCAGUUUGACUGGGGCGGUCGCCUCCUAAAAUGUAACGGAGGCGCCCAAAGGUUCCCUCAGAACGGUCGGAAAUCGUUCGUAGAGUGUAAAGGCAUAAGGGAGCCUGACUGCGAGACCUACAAGUCGAGCAGGGACGAAAGUCGGGCUUAGUGAUCCGGUGGUACCUCGUGGGAGGGCCAUCGCUCAACGGAUAAAAGCUACCUCGGGGAUAACAGGCUGAUCUCCCCCAAGAGUUCACAUCGACGGGGAGGUUUGGCACCUCGAUGUCGGCUCGUCGCAUCCUGGGGCUGAAGUAGGUCCCAAGGGUUGGGCUGUUCGCCCAUUAAAGCGGCACGCGAGCUGGGUUCAGAACGUCGUGAGACAGUUCGGUCCCUAUCCGUCGCGGGCGUAGGAAAUUUGAGAGGAGCUGUCCUUAGUACGAGAGGACCGGGAUGGACUGACCUAUGGUGUACCAGUUGUUUCGCCAGAAGCAUAGCUGGGUAGCUAAGUCGGGAAGGGAUAAACGCUGAAAGCAUCUAAGUGUGAAGCCCACCUCAAGAUGAGAUUUCCCAUAGCAUAAGCUAGUAAGACCCCUUGA